GAUGAACGCUGGCGGCGUGCUUAACACAUGCAAGUCGAACGGACUUUUAAUGAAACCUAGUGAUUUAAAAGUUAGUGGCGGACGGGUGAGUAACGCGUGGGUAACCUGCCGUAUGCUGGGGGACAACAGUUAGAAAUGACUGCUAACACCGCAUAAGCGCACAGAGUCGCAUGACUCAGUGUGAAAAACUGAGGUGGCAUACGAUGGACCCGCGUCUGGAUUAGCUAGUUGGUGAGGUAACGGCUCACCAAGGCGACGAUCAGUAGCCGGCCUGAGAGGGUGAACGGCCACAUUGGGACUGAGACACGGCCCAA
rnacentral:rRNA from 1 species